CAGUAGCCGCGGUAAUACGAAGGGUGCAAGCGUUACUCGGAAUUACUGGGCGUAAAGCGUGCGUAGGUGGUGGUUUAAGUCCGUUGUGAAAGCCCUGGGCUCAACCUGGGAAUUGCAGUGGAUACUGGGUCACUAGAGUGUGGUAGGGGAUAGUGGAAUUUCCGGUGUAGCAGUGAAAUGCGUAGAGAUCGGAAGGAACAUCUGUGGCGAAGGCGACUAUCUGGGCCAACACUGACACUGAGGCACGAAAGCGUGGGGAGCAAACAGGAUUAGAUACCCCUGUAGUCCCUGUCUCUUAUAC
rnacentral:rRNA from 1 species